UCGGCUUGUUCCUCAGUCCCUGGGAGGCAAGAGGGAAAAAAAAAAUCAGUGAGAGGAACGGCGCUCCCUCGUGGCUGUGAUGCCUCAUGGUUUCCAUUAGCAAUUACAUGCAGGGGGAGUCUUGACAACUUCGCUGUCAGCAGUACCUGCUGGGACCGACUUCACUUAGCGUCCGUCACCCUUCGACAAACUGGUUUUCGACAAGGCCAAACCAUCCCGACCCAGUCUCUGCGCGCACCUUUUUUUAGGAGCAGAAAAAGGUUUUCUGCGGAGCAUCGCACGCCGGCAGCGCCCUCCCAGGGCCCGGUAAGGAGGGAGGCCGAUGCCUGUACCCUGCUUUUCAGACACUUUUGUCUGAAAUGCUCUUUGGCACUGAUCCGUGUCCUUUUUUUUACGACGCCGGUGAGUUUCUGCGGUUAGAAGCACUCUUGCGGGACACAACACUAUAUCUACCGUCAGACUCCAAAACCAAUUACAUGACAGGUAAGAAAUCAAGCGCAGCAGGACUGCUUUUCCUUAAAGCCGUCCAAGAGGGCACCUGGAGUGUGUGGAGUUCUGCUUUGUCCAGUAUGACCAUGUGUUGCUCCCCUUGUUAAAGGGAGAAUCAGUAUUUGAUAAAGGCUUUUUGAUUUUUUUUGGGGGGGCGGGGGGGGG